ensembl:lncRNA
GGGCAACUCCAGCGUUACUCUUAGUAGGGUUUGAUUCAUCUCUGAGGUGACUCCAGCGUUACGCUAGUCGACUCUUAGUAGGGUUUGAUUCAUCUCUGAGGUGACGCCAGCGUUACGCUAGUCGACUCUUAGUAGGGUUUGAUUCAUCUCUGAGGUGACGCCAGCGUUACGCUAGUCGACUCUUAGUAGGGUUUGAUUCAUCUCUAAGGGGCAACUCAAGCGUUACUCUUAGUAGGGUUUGAUUCAUCUCUAAGGGCAACUCCACCGUUACGCUAGUCGACUCUUAGUAGGGUUUGAUUCAUCUCUAAGGGGCAACUCAAGCGUUACCCUAGUCGACUCUUAGUAGGGUUUGAUUCAUUUCUGUUUGGGGUUCACACUCUGUUUAGUCUAGGAAAUAGGAAAAGGCAAAAAAAAAAAAAAAAAAAGAAAAGCAACUUUGUUACACAAAUAUUCUAGUAUUGGAAAUCUGCACAGCGACAGCACUGUGGGAGAGAGCUGAGUUCAUGGUUGUGACUUCCACUCAGAGACAGGACUGUGAUCGGUGAGGAAACCUGCAUUACUGUCUCUGUCUCCAGCGUCCCCGUCACCACCACCACCACCUGAUCAAUCAGUGUCACCUUUUCAUUUGUUUUGUUCAAUAGUGUGCGUUUGUGAAAGAAAGAUUGUCUUGCUGUUCGAAGCCAGUAGAUCAUUAUGUUCCACACACAGUUAGCUGUCAAACACCACAGAACGAAGAAAAAAAAGAACAUUGUGAAAAGUGUGUGUAUGUUUGUCUGUCUGUUUUGUGUGGGUGUGAGCACAUAUGAGUGUGUUGUCUGUGUCUGUAUAUAUCUGUACCAAAGAGUUUGCCUUGAUCUGUAUAUUGCAGCCAUGUACAGUUUUUAAGAAAUCAUACUAUUGUAUCUUAGCUAAGAUUAUUUAGCGGGAUAGUAAUGUUUUAAUAAAGCAUUUGGAAGACGUGUGCAAACUCAUUUGUCUGUGCAGUGCAUUUCUCCUCAGUGAACCCAGUUUAAUUAAC